UACGUAGGGUGCAAGCGUUGUCCGGAAUUAUUGGGCGUAAAGAGCUCGUAGGCGGUUCGUCGCGUCGGCUGUGAAAUCCCGAGGCUCAACCUCGGGUCUGCAGUCGAUACGGGCGGACUGGAGUUCGGCAGGGGAGACUGGAAUUCCUGGUGUAGCGGUGAAAUGCGCAGAUAUCAGGAGGAACACCGGUGGCGAAGGCGGGUCUCUGGGCCGAGUACUGACGCUGAGGAGCGAAAGCGUGGGGAGCGAACAGG
rnacentral:rRNA from 1 species